GCACAAGCGGUGGAGCAUGUGGUUAAUCGAAGCAACGCGAAGAACCUUACCAGGUCUUGACAUCCCGAUGCUAUUCUAGAGAUAGAAAGUUACUUCGGUACAUCGGUGACAGGUGGUGCAUGGUUGUCGUCAGCUCGUGUCGUGAGAUGUUGGGUUAAGUCCCGCAACGAGCGCAACCCCUAUUGUUAGUUGCCAUCAUUCAGUUGGGCACUCUAGCGAGACUGCCGGUAAUAAACCGGAGGAAGGUGGGGAUGACGUCAAAUCAUCAUGCCCCUUAUGACCUGGGCUACACACGUGCUACAAUGGUUGGUACAACGAGUUGCGAGUCGGUGACGGCGAGCUAAUCUCUUAAAGCCAAUCUCAGUUCGGAUUGUAGGCUGCAACUCGCCUACAUGAAGUCGGAAUCGCUAGUAAUCGCGGAUCAGCACGCCGCGGUGAAUACGUUCCCGGGCCUU
rnacentral:rRNA from 1 species